GAGACAAAGAGUGAAGUCAAAACUGAUGCACUAGGUUAAUGUUAUGUUUUUCUUGUUUCUUUUUUAUUUGUCAAAAUGAAUUGAAUUAUUUGUCAGUGUUUCAAAGAUUGGUCAAAUAAUUGAUUAAGUGAUUGUUUGUGCCCCACACUAAAUAAUGACCCUGAGAUGCCACUGAUCUCUUCUGUGGGAUUGGACCAGACAGGCUAGCGUUCGCUCCCCACACACAACAAUGAGCCUUGGGCACCCAUGACCCCGUCACUGGUUCACCGGUUGUCCUUCCUUGUACCACUUUGGGGUCGAUAUGCAAUAUGCUUACAGAUGGAUGCAUUCAUUUUGGAGACACUGACGGAUGAGAACAGGGGAAAAAUCAAUCUCUCUUUCCUUUCAGGCUGCAGGAUGCAAGCACAGUCAGACAGUUAGUUGAUUGAAGAGGCAGCAGCAUUGCAGCAAAACAGCAAUGUCACAAAAAAGGACAUAUCCCUCUGGUGCAGAGAAAAGGAAAAAGAAGUAAACCGAGGAAGAGAAAAAAGAGCAGGAUAAAGGAGCACUGAGGUGGGGCACAACCAACGCCGCCUGCCCCAAGUGCCAGUGCUACAGCUGAUGAUGAUACAGCAGUUGAGUUUUCAACAAUCCCAGAUCAAUAUAUUUAUAUGGAUAAACCAUGCCUUUUGUGAGAUCUUUUUUUGUUUUUGACAGACAGUUGCAUUGCCUUCUAAUAUGACAUCUAACAUGGCUAGCUUUUAUUAUUAUUAUUAUUAUUAUUAUUAUUAUUUUCAUCUUUCAUCAGUUCCAUCCUCUGCAGGCGAGGAGCACUUACCAGCACCUGCAUCCACUGAUCCUACUGUUCCUUCCAUGUCUGUUUCAAACUCAGUGGAUGUGGCAGUUAAGUUAAUAGCACAGCAGCCUUUGUUUUUGCUCAGUUUACUGUAGAAUAUCCUGAGAUUAAUAUUUCUAAUUAUAAUUAUUAGUGUAAUUUCCUUAUAGGUCCUUCUACUUCUGUGGUCAUUGGGAUUGAUGUCACAUCUACACCCUUAGCAACUUCCAGCCUACACCAUGGAUCAGCAGCUCAUCCUUUUGACCCAGCUGAGUGGUCAUCUAUCCUGUCCAACUCAGAAAGGACUGAUCUGGUAAGCAGAGGGCCACUGCCUAUAAAGGAAAACUUCACAUUCCCUAAAAAACCUGAUGGCCGAAGUUUCCACAACCAUUACACCUACAGACAAUUAAUUAAUGAGGAAUAAAACAAGCGGAGCUGGCUCACUUAUUCAAAAAGUAAUGAUGCAGUCUACUGCUUCUGCUGCAAAUUGUUCUCCAGGAAGUCCACAAAACUGGAAACAGAGGGACAACAGGAUUGGGUCAAUAUAGGUGCACUACUGAAACAGCAUGAAAAUAGCCUUGAUCUUGUUACAGGUCCAUCUGAUCUGUUCAUUUAAUGUAAUUAUUUAAGUAUUUAAUUUAAUAUUGUCCAUUUUGUACAUUUAAAUACAUUUUUUAUAUAAGAAGACACUGUUUAUCUUAAGUUAUUUUAUAUGUAGUUGAUUG